AUACGGAGGAUCCGAGCGUUAUCCGGAUUUAUUGGGUUUAAAGGGAGCGUAGGCGGACGCUUAAGUCAGUUGUGAAAGUUUGCGGCUCAACCGUAAAAUUGCAGUUGAUACUGGGUGUCUUGAGUACAGUAGAGGCAGGCGGAAUUCGUGGGGGAGCGGUGGAAUGCUUAGAUAUCACGAAGAACUCCGAUUGCGAAGGCAGCCUGCUGGACUGUAACUGACGCUGAUGCUCGAAAGUGUGGGUAUCAAACAGGAUUAGAUACCCUGGUAGUCCACACAGUAAACGAUGAAUACUCGCUGUUUGCGAUAUACAGUAAGCGGCCAAGCGAAAGCGUUAAGUAUUCCACCUGGGGAGUACGCCGGCAACGGUGAAACUCAAAUGAAUUGGCGGGG
rnacentral:rRNA from 1 species